GAUCUCAUGUACUAAAAUUAAAAAUCAAAUAAGAAAAAACGUGGCUAUGAAGAUAGUUCCCAUGUAAUGUUUCUUUCAUUGUGUUCGAUUUCUUCUAGAAGAGUGUUGGAACAUGUCCCUAUUGCUAUUGGACUAACUAGUUGCUAUCCCUCUAGAAGACCAUGACAAAUUUGAGGCAAAUCCUUCUCCUUUAGUAAUGACUAUUGACUAGUUCCUUCCAUAUGGUAGAGGCCAGGUCUUAUAGAAAGAUUGCCCCGUCAGUGUCACAAAAAGUAUCAAACAAGACGCCCCCAAGUUUUUUCCUUUCGAUUUCACUAUUAUUUGAGUGGCUUGGAGAUGCCCUUGUAUUGUGUUGGGUUCAACAGUUUCAGAAUUUGAAGAUAUCAAACGCAAAACAUUCCCCUCUUGGUUGCUACAAGAUCGAUGGACAUGAUGAAGAAUAGCCCUUUUGAUGUCUCUUCUUCUUACUUGCUUAUUGAGGCCAGUGGUGACUCUGAAGCCGAUUGGAACCCCUACACUAAGGGUGAACAUGCAGAUGAUGAUGCUCAAUCUUGCAUCUAUGAUAGUUCUGAGAUUUGUAAUGCUUCUGAACUCAAUGGAUAUGAUGAGUCUUGGAAUAUUGAUGAUGAUGUUGAAGAUGAGAAGAAAGAUGAUGUUAUUCAUCAUGGAACUUCAUAUUGUGAUGAUGAUGAUAUGCAACACCAGAAGUCCUGUGUGUCUGAUGAUUCAGGCCAAGAAUUGGUGGAUGAGAUGGAAAAGAACAGGCUUUUCUGGGAAGCUUGUUUGGCAUCUUGAUUAUGUUUGUUGGAAGUUCUUUAUUUCUGAAUCACUGUUCUCUGGCUUCAUGAGUAUUCAUACUAUCAUAAAGAUAAAAGCUUUCAAGUUUGAUCACAUAUCACGGUUAAGGUCCUUAAGGAGAUUCGGGAAAAUUGAGUACUGUGAAAUACUCUGGAUUGUCUGUGACUUCUAUCUGGGGAAGCACGGCACAGGGGGGUGCAGCAGGCUUAAUGGGCAAGAAGGUUUUGGGUUUAGUUUAGGCCCACUACUGAAACUUCUCCUAUCUUGAUGAAUUUCUGAAGUUUUUAGUUAAUAAUAAUUGCAAGAUAUCAUGUGAUCUUUAGAAUAAUUGAAAAUCAAUUACGGUCCAACUUAAUUAACUAUUAUAUUAGUACCAGGUAAGAUGGAGCAUUCAAAUUUCACACGUUAUCAAAUAGUAUUAUUGUGUU